rnacentral:rRNA from 2 species
AUUGAACGCUGGCGGCAGGCCUAACACAUGCAAGUCGAGCGGCAGCACGGGUACUUGUACCUGGUGGCGAGCGGCGGACGGGUGAGUAAUGCCUAGGAAUCUGCCUGGUAGUGGGGGAUAACGCUCGGAAACGGACGCUAAUACCGCAUACGUCCUACGGGAGAAAGCAGGGGACCUUCGGGCCUUGCGCUAUCAGAUGAG